CAAGAGUUAACAUCAUCACUUUGUGCCAGCAAGAAGAAUCCUAGUUACAUUGCAAUCAGAUGUUGAUCAUUCCUAGGGUUUUUUCCAAUUGGCAGUGUGGCUUGUGCCAGUCUCAGCACACGUUGCCUGUGCUCCACUUGGUUUACAUUCUAUUUCUAAGAUGGCCGCAGCAGCCAGAGCUGCACUGAUCCUAAGUCAGGAGCCAACAGCUUCUUCCAGGUCUCCCAUUUGGGUGCAAGGGCCCAAGGACUUGGACCAUCUU